UACGUAGGGUGCAAGCGUUAAUCGGAAUUACUGGGCGUAAAGCGUGCGCAGGCGGUUUUGUAAGUCAGAUGUGAAAUCUCCGGGCUUAACCCGGAAAGGUCAGCCGAUACUGCGGGGCUAGAGUGCAGAAGGGGCAACUGGAAUUCUCGGUGUAGCGGUGAAAUGCGCAGAUAUCGGGAGGAACACCAAUGGCGAAGGCAGCUCGCUGGGACGGUACUGACGCUGAGACGCGAAAGCGUGGGGAGCAAACAGG
rnacentral:rRNA from 1 species